GGUCUAACCUGCUCACUGAAUUAAUUUUAAAGAGCCGCGGUAUUUUGACCGUGCAAAGGUAGCAUAAUCAUUAGUCUUUUAAUUGGAGGCUUGAAUGAAUGGUUUGACGAAAGGGGGACUGUCUCAAAUUUAAUUAAUAAAAUUUAACUUUUAAGUUAAAAGGCUUAAAUAGAUCUUUAGGACAAGAAGACCCUAUAGAACUUUAUAAAUCAAAUAAUAAUAUAUUUUUGUUAGACUGUUUUAUUUAUUAUUUGAUUUAUUUUGUUGGGGUGACAUAAAGAAUAGUUAAACUCUUUAAGUUUAUAAUCAUUAAUUUAUGAAAUUUUGAUCCAUAAUUUGUGAUUAAGAGAUUAAGUUACCUUAGGGAUAACAGCGUAAUUAUUUUUUAGAGUUCAUAUCAAUAAAAUAGAUUGCGACCUCGAUGUUGGAUUAAGAGAAGUUCUAGGUGUAUCAGUUU
rnacentral:rRNA from 1 species